rnacentral:rRNA from 1 species
AGCGAACGCUGGCGGCAUGCCUAACACAUGCAAGUCGCACGGGGGGGCUUCGGCCUCCCAGUGGCGGACGGGUGAGGAACGCGUAGGGACCUGUCGAGGGGUGGGGGAUAACCGCGGGAAACUGCGGCUAAUACCGCAUGACGCCACGGCGUGACAGCCGGUGCCAGAGGCGAAAGCCGCCCGCCGAGGGGCCUGCGUCCGAUUGGCCGGUUGGCGGGGUAGCGGCCCACCAGGGGGUCGAUCGGUAGCUGGUCCGAGAGGUUGAUCAGCCACUCCGGGACGGAGAAGCGGCCGGGACUCCUGCGGGAGGCAGGAGUGGGGGAUAUUGGAAAAUGGGCGCAAGCCUGAUCCAGCAAGGCCGCGUGGGUGAAGAAGGUCUUCGGAUUGUAAAGCCCUUUAGGCGGGGACGAUGGUGACGGUACCCGCAGAAGAAGCCCCGGCUAACUUCGUG